CAGUAGCCGCGGUAAUACGUAGGUGGCAAGCGUUGUCCGGAAUUAUUGGGCGUAAAGGGCUCGCAGGCGGUUUCUUAAGUCUGAUGUGAAAGCCCCCGGCUCAACCGGGGAGGGUCAUUGGAAACUGGGAGACUUGAGUGCAGAAGAGGAGAGCGGAAUUCCAUGUGUAGCGGUGAAAUGCGUAGAUAUAUGGAGGAACACCGGUGGCGAAGGCGGGUCUCUGGGCCGUUACUGACGCUGAGGAGCGAAAGCGUGGGGAGCGAACAGGAUUAGAUACCCGUGUAGUCCCUGUCUCUUAUAA
rnacentral:rRNA from 1 species